AUUGAACGCUGGCGGCAGGCCUAACACAUGCAAGUCGAGCGGAGCGGCGGACGGGUGGGUAAUGCCUAGGAAUCUGCCUGGUAGUGGGGGAUAACGUCAGGAAACGGGCGCUAAUACAGCAUACUAUCAGAUGAACCUAGGUCGGAUGAGCUAGUUGGUGGGGUAAAGGCCUACCAAGGCGACGAUCCGUAACUGGUCUGAGAGGAUGAUCAGUCACACUGGAACGGAGACACGGUCCAGACUCCUACGGUAGGCAGCAGUGGGGAAUAUUGGACAAUGGGCGAAAGCCUGAUCAAGCCAUGCCGCGUGUGUGAAGAAGGUCUUAGGAGUGUAAAGCACUUUAAGUUGGGAGGCGGUACCAACAGAAUAAGCACCGGCUAACUACGUGCCAGCAGCCGCGGUAAUAC
rnacentral:rRNA from 1 species